UACGGAAGGCAGCAGUGGGGAAUAUUGCACAAUGGGCGCAAGCCUGAUGCAGCCAUGCCGCGUGUAUGAAAAAGGCCUUCGGGUUGUAAAGUACUUUCAGUCGUGAGGAAGGUGUUAAGGUUAAUAACCUUAGCAAUUGACGUUAGCGACAGAAGAAGCACCGGCUAACUCCGUGCCAGCAGCCGCGGUAAUACGGAGGGUGCGAGCGUUAAUCGGAAUUACUGGGCGUAAAGGGCACGCAGGCGGUUAAUUAAGUUGGAUGUGAAAUCCCCGGGCUUGACCUGGGAAUGGCAUUCAAGACUGGUUAGCUAGAGUCUUGUAGAGGGGGUAGAAUUCCGAUGUGUAGCGGUGAAAUGCGUAGAGAUGUGGAGGAAUACCGGUGGCGAAGGCGGCCCCUGGACAAAGACUGACGCUCAUGUGCGAAAGCGUGGGGAGCAAAC
rnacentral:rRNA from 1 species